rnacentral:rRNA from 1 species
UGCGAGUGAAGCGGCAAAAGCUCAAAUUUGAAAUCCGGGGCCUCACAGCCUCCGAAUUGUAAUUUCGCGAUACGUUUUCGACCAAAGGUCCCGCUUUAAGUUCCUUGGAACAGGACGUCACAGAGGGUGAGAAUCCCGUGAUAGGUAGGGCCUGAGGCAUAUGAUACGUAUUCAACGAGUCGAGUUGUUUGGGAAUGCAGCUCAAAAUGGGUGGUAAAUUUCAUCUAAAGCUAAAUAUUGGCGAGAGACCGAUAGCGCACAAGUAGAGUGAUCGAAAGAUGAAAAGCACUUUGAAAAGAGAGUUAAAAAGUACGUGAAAUUGUUGAANGGGAAGCGCUCGAGACCAGACUCGAUCUGUGGGGAUCAACCGGGCUUCUGUCCGGUGCACUCGCCACUCUUCGGGCCAGCAUCGGUUCUGGCGGUGGGAUAAAGUCUUGAGGAAUGUAGCUAUCUUUCGGUAGUGUUAUAGCCUCUUGAGUAAUGCCACCA